UACGUAGGGUGCAAGCGUUAAUCGGAAUUACUGGGCGUAAAGCGUGCGCAGGCGGUUAUGUAAGACAGUUGUGAAAUCCCCGGGCUCAACCUGGAGACGCCACCUGAUACUGCUUUGGCUAGAGUCCGGUAGGGGAGCAUGGAAUUCCUGGUGUAGCGGUGAAAUGCGCAGAUAUCAGGAGGAACACCAGUGGCGAAGGCGGUGCUCUGGGCCGGAACUGACGCUGAGGAGCGAAAGCGUGGGGAGCAAACAGG
rnacentral:rRNA from 1 species